GAAUAUUUCGGCAAGAAUGUGGAUUGAUCCCCUUUGAAUGGUUUACCAUGAGUGUAUGAAAAAUAACAUACUGGUCAAUGACUUACUAACAAGUUAUAAAUACUUCGGCAAUUGUCUUGUAAUUCAUUCCUGACGAUGAGGUUGUAACGUCGAAACAUGUGAAGUCUUGGACUUUUUGAAGGCUACAGAUAGGCCUAGAUAAAAUGUUUUUAAUAGUGUACGAGUUUAACGUUGAAUAUUAUUUAUGAUUUUAACUUUAUACAGAAGUGCCGAAAUAGUAUAAUUAUGUUAAGAUUAGUUAAUACAAGUUGUUUUAAAUAUGGGAGUGGUAGGUUCUAACUUAAAAACAACAACAAGUAAUCUUACUUGAAAACUGAAAGCACAGGCAGUAGUAUUUAUGUUUUGAGCAUUUGAGCUAGAACUAAGUACAUUACUAUGGAAAUUGUAUUUAUAUUUUGAAAUAAUAAUCUUUGUAUAUGUGUAAUAUUAUUUGUUCUGUGAGUUACCAUCUCGGUAUUUAUGUUGUUGUAGGUAAAAGUAAAGAUGCUGAAAUUGAAUCAAAAAUAAACAAGGAAUGGCAAAUAUUCGUUCAAAAUUCAGAGGUAAAGGCCAUUUUUUAUUAUGUUUUAUAUUAACGUGAAUAUCUUUUAUAUGGAAAUUAUUCAUCCGAAGUCCAGGUGUAAAUACCAUCAUUGGCCAUUGAAGCUUUUCAAAAGAUUGUAUGUAUAACUAUGUUUGAUGUUCAGGUGACAGGACCCUUGAUGGAUACCAGAAGAAGUAUGAUUGCAAAUUGCUAUUUAUUUUCAUUCUUGGUCAUGAUAUUGACUUUGGUCACAUGGAAGCUGUCAAUUUUCUAAGCUCCAAUAAGUAUUUCUAAAAUCAGAUACUAAAAGUUGAAUGUAUACAAGUAUUUUGAGAAGCAGAUAGUAACUGUUGAAUGUAUACAAGUAUUUUGAGAAGCAGAUAGUAACUGUUGAAUGUCUACAAGUAUUUUGAGAAGCAGAUAGUAACUGUUGAAUGUCUACAAGUAUUUUGAGAAGCAGAUAGUAACUGUUGAAUGUCUACAAGUAUUUUGAGAAGCAGAUAGUAACUGUUGAAUGUCUACAAGUAUUUUGAGAAGCAGAUAGUAACUGUCGAAUGUCUCUUUACAUCUUUGUGAUUGAUGUUUAUGUGCCAACAAUUUCUGUUAUUAGUAUUAACUUCCAAUCGGAGUAAAACUAAAAUUGAAGCUGGUAUUAGUAAUGACUAUAGCUAAUUAAAUAUACUUUCUAACAUUCUUUCAUCAGUUGAAUAUUCUCAAUGUUAACUGUAUUUUCAGAUGUAGUUCAAGUAAUAUCUCCCAAAAUUUGGCCAGCAAAGAAGAUAUAGAGCCAACAAUGAACAAUUAAAACUGAUUGUCCAGUCAAUUAAGAAUGACCUGUGUUCUCGAAACCCCAUUCACGUCAAUCUUGCUCUGCAGUGCAUCACUAACAUAGGUAGUAAGGAGAUGGACGAAACUUUCGGACCUGAAAUUCCAGAACUGCUAGUCUCUGGAUUGUAACAUCGUCAUACACAGAUCUGCAAGACUAACUAUUAUAUUGUCCCUGCUCCCUGGCUAUCUGUGAAGCUUUUGAGGUUUCUUCAGAAUUAUUCAGUACUUGAGGAUCCUGGAGUUCUAGGAUGGUUGACAGUGUCUAGAAACCACUUUAAAUUGAGCCCAAGAACCUCCAAAAUCAUUACUCCAAAAAUGCUGUUCUGUUUGAAGCAAUUAGCCUCAUCAUACACAUGGACAGUGAACCAAAUCUUCUCAUUAGGGCUAGCAAUCAGCUGGGUCAGUUCUUGCAGCAUCGAGAGAUUAACUUAAGGUACUUGGCACUAGAAAGCAUGUGUUUGUUGGCCACUUCAGAGUUUUCCCAAGAAGCCGUUGAAAAACAUCCGGAAACUGUUGUCACUGUACUGAAGGUUAGUACAUACUGUGGACAACUUGUGUGAUUAGUAGUGGAACCAUAGAAAAAAUGUUCCUAAUGUUUAGAAUCUAAGAUUGCUGAGUGAACUUGAAAGGAUGAAGAUGGACCUCUGAUCAUCCAUUUUCUUAUGAAAAUAUCUUUUUUGAUGAUGAACGUGAUAGCAAUUUCUGUUCCAGAUAUUUUGAGAGAGAAACAAUCUGUGAAGUGUAUAUAUACUAAUAAUUCCAUAUAUAUGGAACUCCAGAAAGUAGGUGUUAAAAACUCAAGUGAAUUUUAUGUUUUUAUUAUUUAGAAUAUGCUUUAACUUUAUGGAAUGCUUUACCUAGUAUAUUGUUUUUGCUAAAGUACCUCUGUAUUCAGUAUUGUAAAGUUUCAUUGUUUUCAGUUUUAAUGUUAAAAUGUUUCAUUUUGUUCUUAGUACUGCAUCGAGUUUAAGUUUAUAUUUGUUUGAUUGAACUAUCCAUAUGUUUUAUCACUUUAACUCUUCUGUUUUCUCCUUACCUUAUUUUGAAAAAGAAAAGAAAUUAGUGUUUCUCAUGGUUAUUACAUAUAUAUGGAAAUAUUCGGUGAGAUGCUGAAUUACCUGGAGACAGCUGAUUAUUCAAUAUGGGAAGAAAUGGUAGAACUUGGACAUCUCUAAGUUUAACUCAUGAGAUGCUGAAUUAACAAGAGACAGUUGUUUGAUACUUUGUCUGUGACGGAAUACACUUCUGGCUCGUUACUCGUUCUAAGAGUCUGGUGGAAUGUUCCAUUAUUAUUAAACUUCAGAGCAUAACAUUACAUGGGAAGGUGACAAUGUGUUGGUGAGAAAAUGGAGAGGGAUAUGUGAAAAAAAUUCUAUAACAACUGGUUUACAAAGUACGACAGAAAUAUUAAACACAAGAUAUCAAAGUGUCUAUAGAACAGAAGAUGAAGUGUGAGAAAAAAGUGUAUUAAGUAAACUUUUUAAGCAAAUGUGUUCGUAGAAAUGUGGUAAUGAUACAAUAAAAAAUGGCACGUGCUAUUCCUAUUUUUAAUACUUAGAAUACACAUGUAAUGCAUGCGGGGGGGAAAAAAGGUAAGUAUGAUGGAUAAAUGAACAGAAAUGACAUUAAGAUCUUUUUAAAAGUCAUAAUUUUUGACAACAUGCCCAGAAACUGUGUUUGAAUGGAACUCUUCAAUAGUUGUUGAUAAUUGGUACUGUUCGACCCAAUGCUACUGCGUUCAACUGGCUCCCAUACUAUAGCAUGGAAAAUAUUUUUCCAAUUAUCGGAUGGUUUUCAUUUUGGUACGGUCUCUGCCUCGGGUACGUGGAGAGGAGAGCCUUGGCAUCAACUGUCUCUUGACCAUACUAUCAAAGUUGGGUCCAUAUAAAUUUUUUUCCUCUCCAACCAAAACUGAUGCUGUCACACCAUGUGUUGCCUCAAUAAUAUGCUACAGAAAUCUUAUACGGCUCGAUGCUUCCGUGAUAAGGAUUGAAAAUAUUUUACGACUAGGGUGUAAUCGUGAGUUUGGUACAUCGUCUAAGGUUUGUUCCACUAAUAUAACAUUAGUUCUAUCCAUCGCUACGAUGUUUAUGUUAAUCCUCUAGAAUUCUAUGUUGGUUAGCUGUUCGAAAUUUUCAAUGUCCCAUAUUUGCAGGUUCCAAGUUCUACAACAAUUUGUUCACCAAAGUCUGACAUUGGCGGGUCCCAAGCCCAUCAAAGGUUUACCCUUCACAAUUUUUAAAAUUCUGACAUUGGUGAGUUCAGAGUUCACCAACGAAUCUGUAAGUAAAUGAAGAGUAUCCAAUUUCUUGCUGAAAAAUCUCCCAGUCAGAGGCUGAGUCUCAAUAGAUCACAAUAUGGUAGCUGCUAUACUAAGUAUGACACCUCAACCUAUAAUUAGGUCGCCUGCGGACGAUUUAGUGCCCACACAUUUCACCUUGUGGUUUGGUAUCAAAAAGCAAUGGGUACCAUCUGCCUUAAUACCGGUCAGAUGUUCUCUUUAAAAGGACUUCUUUGAUGUUGUCUAUUCUUUGUGAGGAGAACUCUCCCUCCAUAUAUGGUCACCCUUAAAUGUAGGGGGCACGAAUGGUAUCAUUGCAGUGGCUAGACAGGAUUCUGACUUAGAGGCACUCAUUCAUAAUCCCAUGGAUGGUAGCUUUGCAUCACUGGUCGCUCUAACAAGAAUAUAUACCAAUUGUCAGAACCUUCGGUUCCUCAUGUACUGAGAAGGAUUAUUAUCGCAAUGACUAGUCAUCAGUAGGGUAAAACUAAUUUGUGUCACGAUGGUCUAAACCUAGCUCACGUUCCCUAUUAGUGGGUGAACAAUCCAAUCCUUGGCGAAUUCUGCUUUGUAAUGUUUGGAAGAGCCAACAUUGAAGGAACAAAAGCGACGUCGCUAUGAACACUUGGCCGCUACAAGCCAGUUAUCCCUGUCGUAGCUUUUCUGACACCUCUUGCUUAAAACUACUAAAGUCAAAAGAAUCAGUAGGCCCCACUUUCGAGGUCCGUAUUCAUACUGAAAAUCAAGAGCAAGCAAGCAUUUGCCCUAUUGCUCUACUUAUCAUUUGUGUCCUCGCUGCGCUUACUUUUGGGCACCAGUGUUACCUUUUGACAGAUGUACUGCCCCAGUGAAACUCUCCGCCUAACACUGUCCUCUGAGCAGAUCCUGCCAGACUCGAUGGUCCGGCACUUAGGACUAGAAACGUGGACCCUGGGGUGUGCUCUCCACUUCACCAAUUCAAUAAAGAAACUAUGAAAAUAGUGGUAUUUCAAUGGAGGCUGCAGAGUGACCUCCCAUUUAUGCUACACCUCUCAUGUUUCUUCAGAGAGUCAGAUUAGAGUCAAGCUCAAUAGUGUUUUUUUCCCCCACUGAUUUCUCCAAGCCCGUUCCCUUGCUUGUGGUUUUGCUAGAUAGUAGAUAGGGGGAGUGAAAAUCUCGUUAGUCUAUCCAUGUACAUCACAAAUUAAAUGACUAGGUAUUUGGCUAUUUUUAUAAGAACAACAGGAUGUUGGAAAUAUGACGUCGUUCCUCAGGUCGUAUCUCUCUCUGCCCCUGAGUAGGCUGACAAAAUUUCAGACUUUUACAAGUACACUUAUUGCCUCUAACAUAAUACAUUUACAAGUUAAUGUUCACUUUUUCAAAUGGUCAGCAAGAAUGAUGAACAUGUCCAUAAUGUUUUCUCCAUAGUAUGUAGUAGUAGUAGUAAGUGGGAUAUGUUUAUUUUAUCCUAAUUCAUGCACUUCAUGACUACUACUCAGAGACACUCAUCCUCCACAUCCAGCAGACAAUGCCAUAACACUUGUUAGUUUAUCUUGUCCUUCCCUAUGACACCAUUGUUUUAUGUUUUCCUUUGUUUAUAUAGUAGUUAACCUUGGAAAUAUAUCAGAUAUCCAAACAAUUAGAUCCAGUUUCCACUGGAUGCUUCAAACGUCUAUGCUGGGACAAACCAACUUUAACUAGAAAGCUUCUAGAAUAUGUCACAAAUGUAAAGAUUGCCUCAGAUUGCAGUUGCUCUACAUUAGGUCCUUUACACUUUGCAAAAUGACUAGCUACAGCAAAUAUACUAUUCCAUAUCUUAUUACAUUUCAUACAUGUAAUAGUAUAGUCUGUAUGAUUAGAAGAUGCAUGUUUCUUAAAUGCACUAUGAUUGGCAAACAGUCAGUUACACAGAUAUUAGCUUCCAUUUUGUAAAAGUAAUCAAUUAUAAGGGCUUGUCCAUGGUCCAUCCGAGUCGUAAACCAAAUUGUUUAUCAAAUUGAUGCCUAUUUUCCUUCGAGCUUCAAAAUCAGGUAUAAGGGGUGCUAGCUGAGGACCUCCUUGUUAGGGCAUACGUUUGCUCUCAGGGCCAGACACUUCACCCAGUGGUGUGGCUUCAUACCAACUGGCUUGGGCAACCAUUACUUGGCAGAUCUUGACCCUUUGAAGAGCUCCACACUUUCACCAUGCAAGGCCAACCUUUUCCAGUUUCUCCUUUCCAUAUCCCUCCAUUUGGAAUAAUGUUCCGGAUCACUGGUCAGGCGUAGGGAUCGGAAGCCCAGCCUUUUGAGCAAUACCAUCGAUGGCUCCCAAUAGACCAUCAUUUUCCACCAAAGUCUAUGUGACGGGAUCAGUCAAGUGCACAAGUCUCAAAUACGGUUGGAUCUUAAGACACGGGAAAGAGACUCGAGUUUUACUACAGCUAAUUCCCCAUCACAAUGACGGGAGUAUAGCAGACUGUCUGCCAUACAGGCAGGCAGGUGACACCAACGUUUGACAGCCUGUUUGACGAUACUGUCUAGUUCCUUGAGUUAUUUCAGCUUCGGAUUGCCCAGCUCAAGUUGGUUAACUAGCCGUGGCAAACCAUACUUACAGAGUAUGUCGACCUUCUAAUGUGGCUUGAAGGGUGACUGUGAUUUGCACGAUCCAUUUCUCUAGUGUGGAUUUAACAGGCACACUGUUAAUCCCAGUCCACGGACAGACGCUAGCACCUAGAUAACUGGAAAUUUUUCAGGACUGAUGAUGGGAGCAUUUCACAAUUUACUGUCCAGGAAGGGCAGUCAUUAAUGGUAAAGGUCUUAUUCAACCCCCUAAUCAGCAUUCCUGCACUUUGGGCAAUGUUAAGGCUAAGUCAAUUUCCUGAACAAAAUUUCUCCACGAUGUUCAACAUCGACUGAACAUUGGCAUGAUCUUUAGCCAUUAGUGCCAUAUCAUCAGCAUAUGCUAAGGUUAAGACGGGGACCUGUCCUUUCCCAAGCAUAAAGCCUUGGCUCUUCUCUUCCAGUUGACGAAGGAGAGGAUCCAGAGCAAAGUUAAACAGUGUAGGAGACAUGGGUCCCCUUUUUUGAUGCCCCUCAUUAGAACAAUGGGGCUGGUAGACUGGCUGCCUACUCGAAAGGACGUCGAACAACCACUGUACAUGUCUUUCACAAUUCGAAUGAAAUGCGUGCAGACAGUGAACCUUUCUAGGCUGUUCAGAAGAUGUUUGUGACCAACUGUGUUGAAAGCCUUUGACAAGUCAAGAAGCCCUAGAGCCAGAGUUUCUCUCUGCUUAGCUCUCCUCCUAGCAGACUGUAAUACAAAUAUAUUAUCUCUACAUCCAGCCUGAGGGAUUAAUCCCUCGCUGUCGGGAUUAAUAUGCUCUACCUGCUCGAGAUGGCGUGCCAAAAUCCUGGUAUAUAGCCGCAACACAACUGAGGAGAUUGUGGCCGCCAGUUUUUGAUACCCCACAGACCACUCUUCCCUUUCGGGAUGAACACUGACCUGUUGUACUUCAUGCACUCAGGGAUGCAUCCUGAGAAUUGCCACAGGUUGAACACAUUUACCAAGGAUGCCAUACUUUAGACCUUUUUGGAGGAACAGAAGGGUAAUGUUGUCAGGGCCGGAUGCCCCGUUAUUCAUACCCUGAAGUGAGUGCAUCACUUUGGUUGGAGUAAGCUGUUUCAAGAGGUUGGUGUUAUUGGCCCAUGAUGGCCUGGGGCAGUUAUCUAGAGAAACUAUCAUUUUACACACCAUAGACCUGAUCGUAGUGGUCUUUGACCUCCUCCUUUUUGAGGCUACAUGUGAUGGCUUCCUAGCCAUCUAGUAUUUUCUCGGCCAGGUGCUUUUGCUGGAGGUCAUAUAUCCUCUGAAACCGCUUAUAUCGUUCCACACGAUGGAGAUGCCUUUUGUAUGGUCUUGGUGCAGGUGCAUUAUUUUCUGUCACCUGCAUAGUUGUUCUCUCAUGAUUCCAAGACGCUUGAGUAUGGUCUAGGUUGUCUACCCAUUGUUGUGUCACGACUUUGAUCUCCUGCCAUACUGGUUCAAUGAGUCCUUUCUGAUCUCUCAGCUGAUCAAGGUACGAGCAGAACUUAGAGUCAGGGUCCGGAAAAGAAUGCACUCCUUCCCAGUCCAACUCCUCAUACUCCCCAACCUGCUCUGAGUGGUGGGUGCACCAUGUAUUUUUGAAGACCGUAUCUUGUGCAAAUCCUAGCACUUGUCCAAGAUCUAUUUGGAAGUCUUACCACGUAGAUGUCCCACACAGAAGAUAUUAAUGUUCUUUUUGCCCGAGUACACUACUUUCGCUUCCCGGAGUGUUUGUGUUUCUUCCUCAGACCAUACUACCUGAUGUGGGCGCACCGACGGUGUCAUGUGUCCUAGAGAGUGGAUAUGUUCGGCAUUCCUGAUACAGGGAUGCCGAUGAUGCUUAUGUUGCAAAAGCCCAGAUUUGGUCUUAAAUCUAUCAUUGCAAAUAUCACAAGUGAAUUUGCUCAAUUCCACAGCAAAUGUAACAGUUCACUGCAGAUGGAAUUUUGGAACAUGACAGGCUAUUGCAUGAUGAUUGCCAUCACUUUUACCGCAAUAUGAGCAGCAUGCCUGAGUUAGUGGAUUUUGGACGUUUGCCAAGAACUCAUGGGAACAUAGGUCGCAUGCCUCCUUUUCAAAGGGCAAAUGCACUGAUACCAGUGUGCCUACCCAUUCAAACCUACCCUCAGUUAUGCACAAUAACUGGUUCUCUACAGACAGGUUUGAGUUGUGUGUAGGUGGCAGACUUUUGCCCUCAGUCACGCACGGCGACUGGAUACUUACAGAAGAGCUGUCAGAAGCUCUAGGCAUAGUCCUUUCGUCAGUUUCGCCCUCAAUUACGCACCAUGACUGGAUACUUACAGACGAUCUGUCAGAAGCUCUAGUCGUAGCCGAACAGGUGUUCAUCAAUUCCUCAGUUCCUGAGUUCUGUCAAUUUCGCCCUCAGUCAUGCACGAUGACUGGAUACUUGCAGACGAGCUGUCUGAAGCUCUAGGCAUAGUUCUUUCAUCAAUUCUGCCCUCAAUCACACAUGAUGACUGGCUGCCUGUAGACGGGCUGUCUACAGCUAUAGGCAUUGUCCUAUCAUGAGGGGGACUAUUAGUUGUAGUCGAGUACAACCGGUUUGCUUGCAGGAUGAUGUUACCUGCAUUUAGAGCCCCGUUAAAGUCAGUGGUAGGGUCGUUUACAGAUCACCACUAUCUGUUGUAGUCGAGAACAACAGUGUUUCUUCUGAUUGAAUGGAGGUGUCUAUACCUACAGUGGUAUCUGAACUGUCGGGAGAAGUCGUAGCUAAGUCAGAACUGUAGGGGAUGGUGUUUUCUCCCUCAGCUAUAGUCGAAUAUAGCUGUCCUUCUGCUGACAUGAUGGAGUUGUCAGUAGGCAUAGUCUGACUUAGAUCGGGAUGAGACUCUAGAGAGUAUGUCAAAAAUCAGGUUAUCAACCACUGUAGUGGUUGUGUCACAAGAUGUCUCUUGCAGGGAGACAUUAGAAAACAAGCCAUCCACCUCAGUCGUUUGGCACAUAUCUUCCAAGAUAAGUAGUUUGCCUGUUGCACUGGGUACACUUUGGGUGUGUGACCAGGUGUUGGAAUAGGUAAUUAAUUCCUUUAUUCCUGUAGCAUGAAGUCCCACGUCGGUUUAUCCCUCGUCGCCAGAGAAUCGCUUGGAAGCUACCAUCCCCAGUUGGUGGCAAGUAGCUCGUAUCUGGCGGCCACCCUGGCACCCCAUGGAUGCCAAACCAUAGCUUAUUUCUGUAUUAAAACUUUCCAUUUCAAAAAAUGGUCUACUCUGAUAUAGGGCCGACUGGUUCCCUAUAAAAUGCAAAUACAGGGUAGGUUGUUAAAGAGUCAUAGUUACUCCUGCCGUUUACCAGCGCUUGGUUGAAUUUCUUCACCUUGACAUUCAGAGCACUGGGCAGAAAUUACAUUGAGUCAGAACCAUCCAACAGCCAUCACAAUGCUUUGUUUUAAUUAGAUAGUCGAAUUUCCCUAGUCUGUGCCAGUUCUGAGUUGUCUGUUAGUUGCUGGCCAAAACGGUCAUGCAAGGUGGACACCCAGCAUGGCGCACAGCUGAGGCCUUUCACGGGAAGGUCCCAAUGCUGGUACCACACCUGCAUCAGACUUCAGCCCAAUCAGACCCAGCUCUCACAGCCAAUCCUUGUCCCAAGGUUAUGAAUCCGUUUUGCCGACUUCCCUUACCCACAUCUAUAUGGGUACGGUCUGGCACGAAAAUCACACUCUCCCUCUUAUUUUCCAGGGAGAUCUUUUACAAAGGAAGAAAGCUCUUUCCGGGACUCCCGUUGACGUUUCAGAGUACGGUUGUGUUAUUGCACUUGAUCCAAAGGUUGAUGUCCGGGUUCAGGAAUACUAACCAGAUUCCUUUUUAAUCAAUCGUGGGACCUGCAGUGUUGGACAGGUCCCGCUUUUGAAAGGAUUGCUCCUAUCCCUUAGCAACGACUGACCCAUGUUCAACUGCUGUUCACAUGGACCCCUUCUCCACCUCAGUCCUGAAGGUUCUCACUUGAGUAUUUGCUACUACCACCAAGAACUAAGAAGAGCCAUGCACCACCUCUCACUGAAUCAAGAAAGAGCUCAUAAUCUGUCAUAAUCAUAAUCUAUAGGUUGAAAGACAAAGCAUUGCUCGACAAGAUAUAUAGGUUUAGGUUGAAAAAUAAAACAUUCAUCAGUAAUAUAGAUAGGUUUAAGUUGAAAACAAAGCAUUGGUCAACAACAUGUUUAGGUUGAAAAACAAAGCAUUGCUCAAUAAUAUAUGCAGGUGUAUGUUGAAAAAUCAAGCGUUACUCGUAUAUGUAUAUAUAUAU